GCGUUAAGUCGACCGCCUGGGGAGUACGGCCGCAAGGUUAAAACUCAAAUGAAUUGACGGGGGCCCGCACAAGCGGUGGAGCAUGUGGUUUAAUUCGAUGCAACGCGAAGAACCUUACCUGGUCUUGACAUCCACGGAAGUUUUCAGAGAUGAGAAUGUGCCUUCGGGAACCGUGAGACAGGUGCUGCAUGGCUGUCGUCAGCUCGUGUUGUGAAAUGUUGGGUUAAGUCCCGCAACGAGCGCAACCCUUAUCCUUUGUUGCCAGCGGUUAGGCCGGGAACUCAAAGGAGACUGCCAGUGAUAAACUGGAGGAAGGUGGGGAUGACGUCAAGUCAUCAUGGCCCUUACGACCAGGGCUACACACGUGCUACAAUGGCGCAUACAAAGAGAAGCGACCUCGCGAGAGCAAGCGGACCUCAUAAAGUGCGUCGUAGUCCGGAUUGGAGUCUGCAACUCGACUCCAUGAAGUCGGAAUCGCUAGUAAUCGUGGAUCAGAAUGCCACGGUGAAUACGUUCCCGGGCCUUGUACACACCGCCCGUCACACCAUGGGAGUGGGUUGCAAAAGAAGUAGGUAGCUUAACCUUCGGGAGGGCGCUUACCACUUUGUGAUUCAUGACUGGGGUGAAGUCGUAACAAGGUAACCGUAGGGGAACCUGCGGUUGGAUCACCUCCUUACCUGAAAGAA
rnacentral:rRNA from 1 species